CAUGGCGAGCCUGCCGUUCUUGAUCUCCUUGAGCUUGAGCUCAUUCAUCUCCUUCUCGGUCUUGCCGAAGCCGAGCGGGUUGAAGAGGGGCCCGCCGGGGUAGGACGGGUCGCCGGAGCCGGCGAGGAACUUCUCGAGGCCGAGGAAGUACUGCUUGCCCAUGGAGCCCGGGUUGUACCAGUCCUGGAGGCGGCGGUGCUCGGCGAAGCCCAUGAGCGCCAUGUUGAAGACGAAGAGCGUGUAGGAGUCGGCCCA
rnacentral:lncRNA from 1 species